UACGAAGGGGGCUAGCGUUGCUCGGAAUCACUGGGCGUAAAGCGCACGUAGGCGGAUUGCUAAGUCAGGGGUGAAAUCCUGGAGCUCAACUCCAGAACUGCCUUUGAUACUGGCGAUCUUGAGUCCGGGAGAGGUGAGUGGAACUGCGAGUGUAGAGGUGAAAUUCGUUAGAUAUUCGCAAGAACACCAGUGGCGAAGGCGGCUCAC
rnacentral:rRNA from 1 species